rnacentral:rRNA from 1 species
UACGGAGGGUGAGAGCGUUAAUCGGAAUUACUGGGCGAAAAGUGUGCGUAGGGGGUUGAUUAAGUUAUCUGUGAAAUUCCUGGGCUUAACCUGGGACGGUCAGAUAAUACUGGUUGACUCGAGUAUGGGAGAGGGUAAUGGAAUUUCCGGUGUAGCGGUGAAAUGCGUAGAGAUCGGAAGGAACGGAAGUGGCGAAGGCGGCUGCCUGGCCUAAUACAGGCACUGAGGCACGAAAGAGUUGGGAGCAAUCAGG